GUUGUGCAUUUUCCGGGCUUUUUUUUUUUUCCGUGUCAGGAGCAACCGGAGUUGCUUCUGGAGUGAGAGAAUUGGCCGUCUGCAAGGACGUUACCCAGGGGACGCCCGGAUGUUUUGAUGUUUUUACCAUCCUUGUGGGAGGCUUCUCUCAUGUCCCCACAUGGAGCUGGAGCUGAUAGAGGGAGCUCAUCCACACUCUCCCCAGGUGGGAUUCGAACCUGGCAGCUUUCAGGUCAGCAACCCAACCUUCAAGUCACUUAGUCCACUACGCCAUCUGGGGGCUCCAUUUUCUGGGCUGUAUGGCCAUGUUCCAGAAGCAUUCUCUCCUGACGUUUCGCCCACAUCUACGGCAAGGAUCCUCAGAGGUUGUGAGCUCUUGUGAACAACAAUCCAGCAAGUCUUCCUGUCUUUGGGAAUUAAAUCGGAAUUGUUGCAUGAUGUCUGGCUCCAUUCAUUUCCAUGAGGUUGACACUAACUCACAAGAUUACUUACUUAGGCGAUCCCUCGUAGCUCAAGGAUGAUGGUCCUCCAAGUGUUGUGUCGGCGGUGGAUGCGUAGGUGGCUGUGGAGGCCUAUUCUUGACCCGCAUGUUCUUCUGCAGUGAAGACAUCAGUUUCCAGAUGGAAAAUGGUCGUGGUCAGGGUUGGCUUGACACGCCUUCCUCCUGGCACAUUUCUCCCUUGUCAUGUUUCUUACAAGAUUAUACCACCCAAACCAUGGAAAACACCAUGGGACCAUGGAAAAUGAAAUGAUCCUUAUCAUAUGGUCCCCAGGACAACAAUGUGAUGCAGCAGCUUAAAAAGUCAAUGGGAUUUUGGGCUACAUCAAAAGGAGUGUAGUGCUUAGAUCAAGAGAAGUAAUGGUCAGACCUCACCUGGAAUACUGUGUCCAAUUCUGGGUGCCACAAUGCAAGAGGGAUAUUACCAAGCUGAAAUGUGUCCAGAUGAGGGUUCCCUAUGAAGAGUGUCUUAAAGAGCUGGUUGUUUAGCCUGUAGAAGAGAAGGUUGAGAGGAGACAUGAUCACCAUAUUUAAAUAUGCUGUCAUAAGGAAGAAGGAGUAGGCUUGUUUUCUGCUGCCUUGGAAACAAGGAUUCAGAGCAGAGUGUUCAAAUGACAGGAAAUAAGAUUCCACCUGAAUAGUAGGAAGAACUUCCUGACCAUAAGAACUGUUCAACAGUGGAACCCUCUGCCUCAGAGUGUGCUGGAAGCUCCUUCCUUGGAGGCUUUUAAGUAGAGACUAGAUGGCCAUCUGUCAGGGGCAUUUUGAUUGUACUUUUCCUGCAUGACAGUGAGUUGGACUAAAUGGCCCGUGUGAUCUCUUCCAACUCUAUAAUAAUAAUAAUAAUAAUAAUAAUAAUAAUAAUAAUAAUAAUAAUAAUAAUAAUUAUUAUUAUUAUUAUUAUUAUUAUUAUUUUAUUAUUAUACCCCGCCCCAUCUCCCUGAAGGGACUCGGGGUGGCUUACAUGGGGCCAAGCCCGGUCGUCAACAAUAUAAAAACAAGCAGUAAAACAAAUCAGACACAAUAAAACAAGUUAUAAAAACACAUUCAAUACACAAUGAUAAAAUAACUCUAUGAUGCUAUUGUUGGAAAUAGCAACCUUCUCAAGCUUCCACUAGUUAUAUGUUGUGUAUAUAAUUCAGAUUGCUUACUGUAUUUUAUAUGUCUGUAUUGGCAUGCAAUUUUACCUUAACUCUUUGUUGUGGGAGGGGCUACAGACCAUGUGAUCAGAACUGGGCUUGUUCAGAACUCAGACUCCAUUUUAGAAACGGUUCAGUUUAGACUUCAGUAAGAAGUUAUGCUUCAGACUUCAAUGCAGGAACAGUAUUCUGUACAGAAACUAUUAGAUGCCAUUGGACUAUGGACUGUUGAUUCUAAGAAUGUUGCCCUGUGUUACCUACAUGCAGAAACUAUUUCAAAACUAUUUGUAACUGAAUUGAUAAAGAUCUGUAUGCUGAA